CCCCUGCAUGGAUAAUAAUCGGGUAUAAGACAGAUACCGAAGGCGCGGGAUAGCAAUAAUAAAAGUAUCGGUAGGGGAGCAUUCCAUAUGCGUCGAAUGGUGCGGGUAACCUAUCCUGGAGUAUAUGGAAAAGCAAAUGUAGGUAUAAGUAACGAUAAGGAGGGUAAGAUUCCCUCCCGCCGCAAGACUAAGGUUUCCCGGGCAAUGUCAAUCAUCCCGGGGUCAGUCGGGUCCUAAGUCUCAGCCGAACGGCGAGGGCGAUGGCAGACACGGUCAACAUUCCGUGACUACCUUUAGGAGCGAUGCGGAGACGGAGCAGUGACACUUCCGCGAGCCGACGGAAUGGCUCGUUGAAGAGUGUAGGCGUAGAUCACGGCAGGCAAAUCCGCCGUGAGAGUCGAACUUGAAAGUACAGGGUCCUCUUCGGAGGAACCUGAUAGCGAGGGUAAGCAUACUCCCGAGAAAAUCCGCUAAGCAAUCCUAAAGGUACCCGUACCGUAAACGGACACACGUAGUAGGGUAGAACAUACUAAGGCGUUGAGAGAUUCAUGGUUAAGGAACUAGGCAAACUGACCCCGUAACUUCGGGAUAAGGGGUCCUCGUGAAAGCGAGGCGCAGAGAAUAGGUCCAGGCAACUGUUUAACAAAAACACAGGGCUGUGCGAACUCGAAAGAUGAAGUAUACAGCCUGACACCUGCCCGGUGCCGGAAGGUUAAGAGGAGAUGUCAACCUUUAUGGCGAAGCAUUGAAUUGAAGCCCCGGUAAACGGCGGCCGUAACAAUAACGGUCCUAAGGUAGCGAAAUUCCUUGUCGGGUAAGUUCCGACCUGCACGAAUGGUGUAAUGAUCCGGACGCUGUCUCAACCAUGAGCUCAGUGAAAUUGUAGUAUCGGUGAAGAUGCCGAUUACCCGCGAUGGGACGAAAAGACCCCGUGAACCUUUACUACAGCUUAGCAUUGACCUUGGUCAUCCGAUGUGUAGGAUAGGCCGGAGGCUUCGAAGCGGCGUCGCCAGGCGUCGUGGAGCCAUCCUUGAAAUACGGCCCUUUGGCUGUCUGAGGUCUAACACGCCAGUGCGAGGACACUGUUUGGUGGGUAGUUUGACUGGGGUGGUCGCCUCCAAAAGCGUAACGGAGGCUUCCAAAGGUGCCCUCGGGCCGAUUGGUAACCGGCCUUAUAGAGUGCAAUGGCAUAAGGGCGCUUGACUGGGAGGCAGACAUGCCGAGCAGGCAGGAAACUGGGGCAUAGUGAUCCGGCGGAUGUGUAUGGAAACUCCGUCGCUCAAAGGAUAAAAGGUACUCCGGGGAUAACAGGCUGAUCCCCCCCAAGAGCUCAUAUCGACGGGGUGGUUUGGCACCUCGAUGUCGGCUCGUCACAUCCUGGGGCUGGAGAAGGUCCCAAGGGUUGGGCUGUUCGCCCAUUAAAGUGGCACGCGAGCUGGGUUCAGAACGUCGUGAGACAGUUCGGUCUCUAUCUAUCGUGGGCGCAGGAGUUUUGAGUGGUGCCGUCACUAGUACGAGAGGACCGUGAUGGACAGACCUCCGGUUUGCCAGUUGUGCCGCCAGGCGCACCGCUGGGUAUCCGAGUCUGGUUAGGAUAAGCGCUGAAAGCAUCUAAGUGCGAAGCCAUCCGCAAGAUGAGAACUCCAUUGAGGGUCGUUGUAGACGACGUAGAUAGGCUGCAGGUGUAAAGACGGUGACGUCAAAGCCGAGCAGUACUAAUUGCCCGA
rnacentral:rRNA from 1 species